rnacentral:rRNA from 1 species
UACGGAAAGUGCAAACGUUGCUCGGAAUCAUUGGGCGUAAAGCGCACGUAGGUGGCCUGUUAAGUCGGGUGUGAAAUCCCUGGGCUCAACCCAGGAAAUGCACUCGAAACUGGCAGGCUUGAGUACUGAAGAGGGUCGCGGAAUUCCCGGUGUAGAGGUGAAAUUCGUAGAUAUCGGGAGGAACACCAGUGGCGAAGGCGGCGACCUGGGCAGAUACUGACACUGAGGUGCGAAAGCGUGGGGAGCAAACAGG